rnacentral:tRNA from 1 species
GGAGGCGAAACCCAGCUAGUUUGAGGUGCAACAAAUUGCGGUGCUGGGGUCGUGGGUUCGACUCCCGCCGCCUCCACCA